UGUGUUCACACAAUUCUAGAUUGUAAUUUUCUAGGUACUGUGCUAAUAAGAACUUGAGCAUGAUAUAAAACAAGGAUAUGUGUUAAAUGACACACAGAAAAAUGCAUUACAGUCAUAAGUACAAUAUAAAUAAAAUAUUUGUACCUGCUGCCUCUCUACGAGUUCUGUUCUGUUUUGCAGAGGGAUCAUAUGAAAAUUGCCCAGCAGUUUUUCCAGUUGGUAGGAGGAUCAGCUAGUGAAUGUGGUAUGUCUAUGAUCUGUCCUUUUGAACACAGUUCAUAUUUGCAGUUGGACAAUAUUGACUGGUGGAGUCUGCGUGUCUAGAGAUAUAUGUUAUGCUUCUUGCUAUGAAGCAACAAGUUAGAAAUUGGAGAGGAAGGCUGAGGAUGUAGCUCAUUUUGUAGUUUGAUCAACUAGCACUUGGGAAGCCUUGGGUUUGAUCCCUUAGCACCACAUUAAGUAAACAUCAUAGGUGGUACCUAUAAUUCUAGCCCUCGGGAAAUAGAAACAGUACCAUUAGAAGCUCAAAGAAUAAUUAGCUCCACUGUGAAGGAUAUCCUGGGUCACAGGAGACCCUGUUGCAACAAUCACACACACACACACACACACACACACACAAAUAAACACAACAAUAAGAGAAAAUAUCAGCAUUUUCCCUUUUGAACAUACCAGUGAAAGAGGAUAAGAGAGGGCUAGAGAGAUGGUCAGUGGUUAAGAACAUCUGCUGCUUUUCCAGAGGAGUCAAGGUCAGUUCCCAGUACCCACAUCAGGUGGUUCACAACUGCAUGUAAGCCCAGCUCCAGGGGAUCCAGUAUUCCCUUCUGGCCUCCACAGGCCCCUGCGUUCACAUGUGCACAUACGUAAAAUACAAAUAACUUUGUUUUAAAAAAUGGAUAUGAGAUUAGAGAAAUGACUCGUCAGCUAAGAGCACUGUUUGCUCUUACAGAGAACCUGAAUUCAACUCCCAACACCCACAGGACAACUCACAACUGUGUGUAACGCCACUCCUAAGAAACUGAUGUCUUCUGGCCUCCAUGGCAACCAGGCACACAUGAUAAACAGACAUAUGUUUAAGCAAAGCACUAAUACAUGCAAAAAAUAUAUAAGUACAGUUUUUAAAAGAGCGAUGUGAGAAUAAAUAAACAGGAAUAAAUUUUCUUCUUAUUCCUGAAAGUUGUAAAUAUAGAUUAGUUUUAAUGUGAAAUGAUCUUAUGGAAUUUUUAACAACUCCAGAUAUAUUUACCUUCUGGCAUGUUGCAGUCGUCCCCCACCCCCAAGUGGGUCAUUUGCCUUUAAUUUCCCUUUUUGUUGUUUUGUUUUUGAGACAGGGUCUUGAGAUGACAUUGUGUAUCCUUAGCUGGUCUGGAACUCACUACCAGGUUCACUUUGAACUUACGAUCAUCUUGCCUCUGCUCCCGAGUACUAUGAUUACAGGCAAGCACCACAGCAAAGCCUGACUUUAGAGCAUAUUUUGUUGAUUAUAGAAAUAAUCCCAGCCGGGCGUGGUGACGCAGGCCUUUAAUCCCAGCACUCGGGAGGCAGAGGCAGGCGGAUUUCUGAGUUCGAGGCCAGCCUUGUCUACAAAGUGAGUUCCAGGUCAGCCAGGGCUAUACAGAGAAACCCUGUCUCAAAAAACAAAAACAGAAAAAGAAAAAGAAAAAAAAAAAGAAAAAGAAAAAAGAACCCCAGACUGAGGCGAAGGCUCCGUGGUGAGCACUUAUCAGCAUGAGGGCCUGAGUCUGGAUAACGAGCUCCCAUAGAGAUAGGGCAGUGAGCAUCUGUAAUCCCAGUGUUCCUGAUGCGAGAUGGGAGGUGGAGCCUGGAGAAUCCCCACAAGUUUACUGGGCAUCUAGCCUGACAUAUACGGGCAAACUGCAAGAGAGUCUGACUCAAACAAGGUAGAAGGUAUGGAACAUGUAAGGUUGUCCUCUCACCCCCUCAUGAGUUCCAUUGUACAUACACCUGUACACAGACAAACAUGCAUGCACAUCAUACAUAUACACACAUUUGUCACACACAUAAAAAAGGAAAAAUUAAAACUAAGGGCCAGUCUUAUGUGGUAUUAAUUGGCGGGGAAGGAGGCUUGAUGCCCCAGCAUAGAGGGAUGCUAGGGGGGUGAGGCAGGAGCGGGUGGAUGAGUGAGGGACACCCUCUUAGAGGCAAAGGGGAGGGAAGGGGGGAUGGGAGGGAAGUUGUGGAAGGGUAAUCGGGAAAGGGAAUAUCAUUUGAAGUGUAAAUGAAUAAAAUGAUUAAUAAUAAUAGUGGCCAGUGAGCUGAGUCAGUAGGUAAGGAUGAAUGUCUACCUCAUGACCUGAGUUUGUUCGCCAAACAGCACAUGAUAGAAAGGGAGAAACAGCUUUUACAACCUGUCCUCUGACCUCUGCAUGCCUACCAAGGCAGAUUCAUGGCCACACUCAGAUGCAAUUCAAAUGUAUACAAAAUGUAAUAAAAUACACUUGAAAUAUUAAAAAACAAUGAUUCCAUUAAAAAAGAGAGAGAGAAAUGGCUUAGUGGUUAGGAGCAUGUAUUACUCUUGCAGAGGGCCAGAAUUUGGUUCCCAGCACUCACAACUAGCUGUUACUCUAGGUUCGGUUCAGGGAAACUUAUACCCUCUUCUAGCUUCUGUGGGCAUCUGCACACAUACACAUAAAUAAACAUAAACCCUUUAAAAAGAGACAGAGUGCUGGGAGGGAAAGUGGGAGGAAGAGAGGAAAAAUAGAUAAAUAAAAUUUAAGUCCUGGGAUUACAGGCAUAUGCCACCACAUUAAGUUUCUCUUGUUCUCUCUUUUUUUUUUCUAUUAAAAAAUGUAGUCGGGCGGUGGUGGCGCACACCUUUAAUUCCAGCACUCGGAGGCAGAGGCGUGAGGAUUUCUGAGUUCGAGGACAGCCAGGGCUACACAGAGAAACCCUGUCUCAAAAAACAAAAAACAAAACAAAAAAAUGUAAAUCUGCCGGGGUGGCACAUGUCUUUAGCACUUUGGGGACAGAGGCAGGUGAAUCUCUGUGGGUGGGUUCCAGGCCAGGCUAGUCUACAUAGCAAAAAAGUGUGCUGAACUGAUUGUUAACUUUUAAAAAAUUACUUCUGGAGAUUCACAAGUGUUUCACCAACACUAUUUAUUCAAUAGUAUUUCCUUUCUCUAUUUUUUGAUUUGUACAACAAAAACUUACUAAGGCUUUGGGAAUGUAGCAACAAAUAAAACAAGAAUCCCUGCCCUUGUGGGGCUUACAGUGUAGUGGGACAGACAGACCUUGAACAUAAUACAGAAGAGAUCAUGGAGCAUACCAGACUAUGAUAAACAUUGAACAGAAAAGCAGAGUCUUCAGAAUGCCGUGGGUGUGGAUGGGGGUGUCAUACUAGCAUCUGCUAUCUCAAAUAGAAGUGUAAUAUCAGAGAUAAGUGCUGGACCAGGUCAGAAUCAGGUACCUUCACGGCAUGUAAUUUCUCUGCUGGAGCUCGGAGGCGGGAGGUUGUGUUGGACAGGUAACUAUGGAGACUUGACCUGUCUUUGCCUCCUGGUGCUGGUAUUAAAAGUGUGUGUCACCAUGCCCAGCUGUGCUCCUAUUUCUAAAUUCUACAGUGACUUAAUUUUAACUAAAGACACCUUCUGGUUUCAUGAAUUUCCAUGGUUUCUUCCCCCUUUUCUCAAUCCCAUUUUAGAUACAAUACCAGGAAGGCAGUGCAUGGCUUCCUGUUUCUUCCUACUUAAACAAUUUGAUGAUGUCUUGAUUUACCUCAACUCUUUUAAGGUCAGUAUGAAUUAUCUGUGUGACUUUAUAUGUGACACACUUUAUAUGCAGUGUUAAAUAGAAAUGAUGGCUUAGGCAGGAGAAUUAUGAGUUUGAAGCCCAAUUGGAUGUGCUGGUACAUGCCUUUAAUCUCAACACUCAGGAGGCAGAGGCAAAGGCAAGUUUGAUCUCUGUGAGUUCAAGGCCAGCCUCUGUAGAGUUCCAGUUGGCCAAAACUAUGUAGUGAGACUGUGUCAAAACAAUAGAAAAGGAAUUCCAGGCCAAUCACACUUACUUCUCCCCCACCAAAAAGUUAUAAUAUAUAGCCUCUUUUCUCUGGUAGUAUUGAUGACAUCAAGGAAUUAAUCUAAUUCUUUUAUUUUUUUAAGACAGGGUUU
rnacentral:lncRNA from 1 species